GGUGGCAGGGAGACGGAGAUAUGGAAACCGCUUACCAGGAACAGGUCCCGGAUGAAGAAUUUAGCUCUUGUGACUUUGGGAUCUUCUCCUGCAUCUGGUGUCGCUGUAGAAGACCAAAGGGAGUUUCGUGUGCUUGUUUUGGAAUCUUACCGUCUUCAGGAACAGUGUAAUUUGCAUACUCUGGAAAAUAAUCUUCGAUUUUUGAUUUCCCUGCCAAGACUUUCUCCGCCAGCAUGUCCUGCUUGUUCAAGAACAAGAUGAUGGAGAUGGUCCGUAACCACCUGGGAAGGGGGAGGAAACACACGUGGGUCCGCGGGAUGAGAAGGCACCUCCAGUGCAGGCGUCACCCGCGAGCACAACAGCGCGGCCGCCCCGCUGACGAAGUCCAGGGUGUGGAGUCACGUGCUGCACCAGCACCGCGGGCCCCACUCCGCUGGCAGGAGGAACGUCAACUCCACUGGGAGGCACCUUUCCUGGCACCAAAGCCAAGGUUCACGUAAUGAGUAAAGGCACCCGGAUUUCUGUGGGGUAAUUUACUAAUCAAAGGUCAGACAAGCAGGAGGACUUCAAGCUCUAACAACAGGCGACGCAGCAUCUGACAGCCCGAGUGCUGGGGUCGCUGAGUUCUCCCUCCGCUGCCUCCGAGCAGGUGGGGGGGCCCUCGGGACUGAGCGGGGGUUCAGGGUCCAGGUCAGGGACUGUCACCUCGGAAGACAAGCCGAGGGAGGGUCUGGGCAUGUCCCCUUUAAGGGGAAACACAGACGCUGAGAACCAGCGUGAGACAAGGUCGCCUGUGCAAACCAGCACAUUCUAGCCCAUUACGUCAAAGGAGCCAGUGGUCAGGGGAACCUGUCACUUCGGAGUUAGGCUGACACGUGGUCGGGGAACUUACUACGAACUAGAAACACCAUCCACUUCCUCCCCAGUGAAAACGGCCUGCUUCUUCUAGUUAUAAAAUACUCCUUGUGAAAAUGAAUCUUAGUUGUAGAAAAUACACAGAAAAAAGUCAAAUGUAAUCAUACCCAGAGAUACUGCUAUUUGAAUUUUUAUGUUUUUACUUACAGGUCUUUUUUCUGUCCUCACAUAUAUUUACAAAACUAAGAUCAUGGUGUUUUUAAAUUUGCUUUCUCAUUUACCAACAUGGUGGCCAUUUUCCCCGUGUGACUGCAUACAUGUAUGUGUGCGUACGUGGGUGUGUGGACAUCCAUGCAAGGAUGUAUGUGUUAUACACAUAAAUGCAUGCACUUCUAAUGACUCCAGAGCUUUUCCCUGAGUUCCUCGUAUUUCUUGACACAUUUUCUUUACCAUUAACGGUCUUGGUGCUGUAGAGCUGAGAACAGCUCCCGAACGUUUGGUAGAGAAAUACGUUUCUGAUAAUCCAAACCCCCUGCAAGAAGAGCUGCGGUUUCCUGUGCUCCUUGGUGACACUUCAGAGAGAACUCUGACCUCCACCUGCACAGGGAGGCACUGCGUGUGUGUCUGACGGACAGUAACUAACAGGCGCCAUCGCUGCUGCCACCUUCACACACAGUGACCCUAGACUGUGAAGGGUCUCAGGACCAUCUAGUUAUUCACGGAAGCUUCGAGGGGCACUUCCUAAAUUUUAAAAACCAAACAAAACUAACUUUGAACCCUGUGUGAUCUCAGGCUCCCCAAACUGAGAUUUGGAUUCUCUUGACAAAGCAGGAUCAGAGCUACAUCAGAGAACAGCCCCACCCUCGGUGAAUCUGCACAUGAGACAGACUGUAGACGUUACCGCCAGGAAGGAAGGCGUCUGGAGGACGGAAGUGAAAAUGCUUUCGAAGAGGUCCAGGGACUCACGCAGGCGGUUAGUGUUGUUGUCCUCACGGAUGACCAUGUUGUAGCUGCUGCAGGCCGCCACGUAGAUGAUGGCGGUGACAUCUGGGGGGGAGGGGGGAGGGAGGCAGGGCGGUUAGAGUGGAUCCGGGAGAGAGCCCGCCCCGUGCACACGUGUCCAGGGACCUUGCCCCUCGGGGACCACGAGAAAAAGAGGGUUUCAAGAAGGCGGGGGCCCCUGGGCCUCCCAGACUAGCAAAGGUGAGCGCGAGCUCCGGGUGCUCGGCUCACGUAUCUGGGGGCUCAUGCUCAGGACGUCUCACAGGGGAGCGGACUGAAAGCUACGUAAGCACAGUGGCAGGACGGAGUGUGUGCAUCCCCAUUUCUAGAGAUGGAGCGUGGAAAUCACCGUUGAAGCACUGAAUCCAUUUUCUUCUCUCGUCCCUCUGGCCUCCGACAUCAAACAUGCUGCGGGGGACAUGGGGGUCAGUUACCCGGGGAGGGAGGGGCUGCCUUCUUCGCUCCCCAAGGGACCUCACAGACUGGGGCCCAUACCCUGAAACUUCCCCAGGCCUGACCCUUGCCCUGAAGUCAGCAGCCCGUGGGCACCCCUCUCCUCCCACUGGCCCAGAGGCCCCCGCUGCCUGGCCUUCUCCAGCUCAAGACGCCUCCCGCCCACAUCCUGCUGGGACUUCAGGAUGGUCACGCGGUCUGGGCGUGGCAGUGAUGUCUGUCCCGGCUUCCUUGGUGCCCAGGCCGGUCCCCUGACCCCACGCCUGGGGCCCCGCAAGAAGGGCCCUGCCCACGUCCCCGCAGAGGCUCCUCUACCACACACUUACUGAAAGUUGACUUUGUCCACUUGGAAUCGAGUCUCAAAAAUCCCUGACGUCAGAACUCUGCACCUGAGAAGGUCCUGGGGGCAAGAAGAAAAGCAAAUACCCCGAUCCAGAGGGGCAGGCCGGGGGCCAUGGGUCAUCGGGAGUUCAAGUCACACCCCCUUCCGCGCAAGAGACACAGUAAGUAAAAACUCAGACGGGCCGUCUCAGUCCCCAGAGGAAGACACGCGGACCACGUGGCCCCGGAGACCAGCGGCCGCGCCGCCAUCCUCUGUGGGGGUUUCUCCGAGCCGCUCAGGACCGCUUCCCACUGCAGCACGUCCCGACCACCAGCUGCCGCUGCGCCCGGACGCCGCCCACUCGGGGUCACACUCUUGGGUGAGAAGCCACAGAAGCGACCCUCUGCAGUCAGGGACCAUGAGCUUCCUGAGCGGGAUACUGGCUGCCUGUGGAUGGGCCCCCUCUGCUCUGCCUGUGCCUGCUCCCGAGGGAAAGGCCGAGGUGCUCCCGAGGCGGGAGAGCCGUAGCUUCACGAAGCUGACCACGCUGCACGCUUGUCACGUGUCACCUAACCCAGCGGGAUGUUAACCUCCCUCCGCCUCCACAAUGCUUCCAGCAGUGGGGAGGGGCCACCUCUCAGCCCGAAGUGUUCUGACGGACCAGCACGACCAGCUCAAGAUUGGGAAGUCCCGACAGCUCCAUCAGCUGGGUGCUUCUGAGCUCCCGGGACCACCUCCCAGAGGGAUGGACUCAGGGGACGGCGAGGAACUCGGACCCCUGGGGGCAGAGAGCCUCCAGGAGGGGCCCCGGCCCACGGGCCCCCCCGAGGGGACAGGGACACCAGGAGUGUUGGAGGGUCAGUUUGAGCAGAGACCCUAACCUCCUUGGGGUUCACU